AUUGAUAGCACCUUCAAAGAACGCUAUUUUACAAAACCUCAUAAAAAGCCACUUGGUUUCUCUGACUAUAAAAAGAAAUUCAAGAUAUUCUGCAAUAAUCCACAAUGCAAAGAAGAUUGGGGGAUUUCUGGCACCUACCACAACUUUCAGGACAUCCCUUUGAUAAAAAUUGAUAAGUUUGUGGUGGAAAGCAAAAAUGGAAAACAAGAAUAUUUCAACAAAUGGAAUAAAGUAAAUUUUAGAAUGAAGGACUUCGCACCAGAAGAAAUAUCAGAGUCAUUCUCUGCUACCACAGAAUAGUGUAAAGGGGCACUACAGCGUACCUCCAAACAUUUUAAAUGGAGAAAAAGGGACACUUUUAUUUUAGGGGUGUGAGUAGAGGUGUGGCCAGUGGCAGGGCUGUUCUGAGAAAUUUUAGGUGAAUUAGUAAAAACGGCUUAUGCAACUAAAAUGUAAUUUAGAGAAAAAAACCAAUGUAUUUUACUUACACAGACUGAAUUAUAAAAGACGUUUAUUGUAGAUUAAAGACACAUUAUUGCUGUGGACCUCUGUUAUGUACUCAGAUACAGCAACUAUAUGGACAAAAGAGGGCCAUUAAACCCCUAAGGAUAUCCCUGCCGUCCUAUGCACUUACCUUACCCUAUUAGUCACAAACACUGGCCAAAAUUAGCGUUAAAAUUUGUUUUUUUGCAAUUUUCACACACAAACCAAUAUGAACGCUAACUUUGGCCAGUGUUUGUGGCUAAGUGGCUACUAAAAAAGACUGGACAUACCCCAUUUGUAAUACCUUGGGUUGUCUACUUUUGCAAAUGGUAUGCCAUCAUGGGGAUAAUUCUAAUUCCUGGGCUACCAUUUGGUCUGAAAGGCAGCAUAACCAAUCUGGCAAAUUUCAAUGUGUAUAAACUGAAAACUGUAACGUGCUAUAUUUGACCAUGUAACUUUCCAAAACACCAUAAAACCUGUACAUUUGGGGUACUGGUUUACUCGUGAGACAUCAGUGAAUACAAAUAUGUGUAUUUUAUUGCAGUAACAGUUAACAGUGUUAUGCUAUUCACAGUUAAAAUUCCAUGCAGAACUAAAAAAAAUAACAUUUCUUAAUUUCUUAAUUAGUUUUAUAUUUUAUGCAUAUUAAAUUGUUUCAUAUAUAAAUAUUUGAUAUGACAUAAAAACCCUGUUUCUCCUGAACAAAAUUAUAUAUAAUAAAUGUGGGUGCAUUUAAUAUGAAAGAGGUGAAUUCUGGUUGAAUAGACGUAUAGUGCAAAUUCAAAGUUAUGUUUACAUUUUUUGUUAUCACAACUUGUACAACUGCCUCAGUCAUUAAGGAGUUAAGAGUAAAAAAAGGGACAGAGUGAUUUGGGCCCUAAAUUUCCUCUAUUGUUGCAUUACAUAUAUUUAGGGUAAUAUAAAUACUGUUAAUGAAAGUUAUUGAAAAUGACAGUUAGUGAAACUGACAAUUGUAGUUAUAGAUCACACUUUUAUCACUCAUAUAUAUUUAGAUAUAUUUAGAAGUGGUUAUAUACAAGGGUUAAUAUAGUUAAAAAACAUGGUUAAUAUACCGGGAAUUAUGUACACAGACAAACUAAAUUUAUUUUUUUGCCAUAUUAUCUGGAAAAUAAUUUUUCAUAAUUUAAACAAAAUAUUAUUUUUAAUAUGUUACUCCACAAUUAUCCCUACAGUAUUAUUAAAAUAAAUUGUCUAAUUAAACAAACAACAAAACUUAGAUUACAAAGGUAUGAUCCAGAUCCAACUCCAUAGGGGUAAAGCGACUAAAGAGGUGCUACGCUUAUGGUCAGAUUACAUAUCCAAGCAAUCAGAGAACACUUAAUAAACUACAACCACAUAACUGAACAGUUUCCCUGGGAAGUUACACACUGCAGGUAAAAUACAUCAGCUCACGUACACCACUGUGAGUCAAAGUUACCUAGCCCACUGCUCAUGUGUUCUUUUUUGUUCUUUUGGUUUUACGUAUUACUCUUUAUACAUUUAUUUACUGCAACAUGUGGAGUAAACUGGUGGGCACUAUUCGUAUAACUGACACACUACAAUUUACACAGAAACCUGCACUCAGAUUGCAGAACUAUGUAAUUACUUAAUGACAUGAAUGUAUACACUGAACAUAUUGAUAUGUAAUGUCAACAUGUUGUCUCACGCGUUGUAUUUACUGCACAAUGUAAUGAUUGCUAACUUUGAACAUUUUGAUAAUCAAAAAAAUUCAAGUUGGGGGGAAAAAUUAUUGUAAAGGACAAUGUUCUCUAUUUGCACUCAAUAAAUAAAG
rnacentral:lncRNA from 1 species